GAUGAACGCUGGCGGCGUGCUUAACACAUGCAAGUCGAACGAGAAGUGAAGACGGAAACCUUCGGGCGGAAGGCUUUAUUUCGAGUGGCGGACGGGUGAGUAACGCGUGGGUAACCUGCCUCAUACAGGGGGAUAACAGUUGGAAACGACUGUUAAUACCGCAUAAGACCACAGCACCGCAUGGUGCGGGGGUAAAAACUCCGGUGGUAUGAGAUGGACCCGCGUUCGAUUAGCCAGUUGGCGGGGUAACGGCCCACCAAAGCGACGAUCGAUAGCCGAUCUGAGAGGAUGACCGGCCACAUUGGGACUGAGACACGGCCCAAACUCCUACGGGAGGCAGCAGUGGGGAAUAUUGCACAAUGGGGGAAACCCUGAUGCAGCGACGCCGCGUGAGUGAAGAAGUAUUUCGGUAUGUAAAGCUCUAUCAGCAGGGAAGAAAAUGACGGCACCUGAGUAAGAAGCCCCGGCUAACUACGUG
rnacentral:rRNA from 1 species